GAUGAACGCUGGCGGCGUGCCUAAUACAUGCAAGUCGAGCGAACAGAUGAGGAGCUUGCUCCUCUGACGUUAGCGGCGGACGGGUGAGUAACACGUGGAUAACCUACCUAUAAGACUGGGAUAACUUCGGGAAACCGGAGCUAAUACCGGAUAAUAUAUUGAACCGCAUGGUUCAAUAGUGAAAGACGGUUUUGCUGUCACUUAUAGAUGGAUCCGCGCCGCAUUAGCUAGUUGGUAAGGUAACGGCUUACCAAGGCAACGAUGCGUAGCCGACCUGAGAGGGUGAUCGGCCACACUGGAACUGAGACACGGUCCAGACUCCGACGGGAGGCAGCAGUAGGGAAUCUUCCGCAAUGGGCGAAAGCCUGACGGAGCAACGCCGCGUGAGUGAUGAAGGUCUUCGGAUCGUAAAACUCUGUUAUUAGGGAAGAACAAAUGUGUAAGUAACUAUGCACGUCUUGACGGGACCUAAUCAGAAAGCCACGGCUAACUACGU
rnacentral:rRNA from 1 species